GAUUAAUUGUUAUGCAUAACUGUCGGGGAGAAUCUUCAGACAUGUGAUCUUCAUGGUCCCUCGUGAAUUUUGUCUGUGAAAUACCAAACCACCCAUAUGUUUCAAAUGAAUUUUGUAUUAUUAUUAUAUCCAAAAUGAUAUAAACUUGAUUGAUGGAAUAAUUGAAUUUUCUGUUUGGAGUCUCCCAAAGUUCAGAUAGAGAUGUGUCUUUGUUGUAUAUAUUCCAGAUCUGGGUAGUUGAAUUUUGAGGUUUUUGUUUUGGUCUGUCGAAAUUUUCAGGAGAAAGAGAUAUGGAGAAAGGAGGAAUGAUUUUACAGUCGAGUGAGAAUCAAAAUCCUUUGAUAGAUCUUUCACCAACACCUUCACCUUCUGCAACUGCUACUGCUCCAGCUUUGGUUUUGUCUAACUCAGGCAAGAGAAUGGAUCCUUCACCAACACCUUCACCUUCUGCAACUGCUACUGCACCAGCUUUGGUUUUGUCUAAUUCAGGCAAGAGAAUGGAUCAAGCUGGCAAGAAAAAG
rnacentral:lncRNA from 1 species